AUGUUUGACAAUGUGCACAACCACCCGCUAUCAGCUGGGCAUGAGGAGACGCGUCAAUGGAAUUCUCAUAGUCACAUAGAUCCUUUGAUGACGGACUUCAUCCGGAAUCUCCGAGAGAACAAUAUCAGCCUCAGCAAGGUUUACAACAUCCUCUGCGCUACACAUGGUCAAAAUGGAGGCGUGCCAUACCGUAAGCAGAACCUGAAGUAUUUGUGCUCACGGCUUGCACAAGAAUCAAUCAAUGAUGACAUACAUAAGACUAUUGAUCUCUUGCAUCAAAUGAAAACUGCUGACCCUAACCUUCAGGUAUAUGUCAACGUUGACAAAGAAGGCUCCGUUCAGUCAAUAUUGUGGUGCACUGGAAAGAACCGUGAAGACUAUGCAUAUUUCGGCGAUGUUGUCACCUUUGACACGACUUACCGAACUAAUCUGUACAAUAUGCCCUUUGGUAUAUUUGUUGGUGUGAACAACCACUACCAAUCUGUCAUAUUUGGUGGAGUUCUGAUGCGUCAUGAAACUACAGAGGGGUUCGAGUGGGCUUUCAAAACGUUUGUCGACACGAUGAAUGGAAAGCAUCCAGUCACAAUAUUGACUGAUCAGUGCAAGGCGAUGGAAGGAGCAAUGGAAAACAUAUUGCCAAAUACAAAUCAUAGGUGGUGCAAGUGGCAUGUAUUGAGAUGUGCAAAGGAGAAGCUUGGCCCUAUAUACGGCAAGAAGAGUGGAUUCAAACAUGAGUUCCACGAAAUUAUAAAUGAUAUUAUUUGUGUCACGGAAUUUGAGGGAAAGUGGGCUGAACUUAUAGAUAAGUACAAUCUGAAGGAUAAUCCUUAUCUUGAGAAUCUAUAUAGCAAGCGGACCAUGUGGGCUAAACCAUACUUCUCCAGUGUGUUCUGUGCCGGGAUGACAAGUACUCAACGCAGCGAGAGCGCAAACCACUUGCUGAAACAGUACAUACCUCGUUCAUCACCUAUGCACCUAUUUGUCAAGCAAUACAACAAGCUAGUCCAAUCACGCACAGCGGAUGAGGGCAGGCAGCAACAUAUGACAAAGAUGAAAUGUCGAAGACUCAACGGAGGGUUUCCCUUGGAAGCUGAUGCUGCCAAGAUAUAUACUAAGGGCGUGUUCAUUAAAUUUGAAGAGGAGCUUUAUCAAGCUGCUUCGUUUAUUGUAUCUAAUUGCAUAAGCAAUAUGGAAUUUGAGGUCACCCGUGCCCGACCGGAUUACUUGCCUGAAUACGAGAUGAGGAGGUACAAGGUUGCCAUCCGAGAUGGUGGUGAUUUCAUAGACUGCGAUUGUGGAUACUUUCAGCAUAGUGGGAUGUUGUGCUGUCACUCUAUCAAGGUUCUGAUACGAAACGACAUACUAAAAAUUCCGAGUAAGAACAUCGUGAAGAGGUGGACCAAAAUGGCAAAGGAAUUGCAGUCUUCAAACCUUGCUGUGCCUCAUGCAUCGACUCAGCCAGACGAUGCUUCAUAUCGGCAAAAUAUCCUGUACAUUGCCGCUCUUGAAACGGUCAAGGAUACCUCCCUUUCAUGCUUGACAAGACACUAA
rnacentral:rRNA from 1 species